rnacentral:rRNA from 1 species
CCCUUAGAUGUUCUGGGCUGCACGCGCGCUACACUGAUGCGUUCAACGAGUUUAUGACCUUGCCCGAUAGGGUUGGGUAAUCUUUUUAAAUCGCAUCGUGAUGGGGAUAGAUUAUUGCAAUUAUUAAUCUUCAACGAGGAAUUCCUAGUAAGCGCGAGUCAUCAGCUCGUGCUGAUUACGUCCCUGCCCUUUGUACACACCGCCCGUCGCUCCUACCGAUUGAAUGGUCCGGUGAAAUCUCGGGACGGCGGCUCGGUCGCUUGCGUCCGACUGCUGAAACUUGAUUAAACCAUAUCAUUUAGAGGAAGGUGAAGUCGUAACA